rnacentral:rRNA from 1 species
UACGUAGGGUGCGAGCGUUGUCCGGAAUUAUUGGGCGUAAAGAGCUUGUAGGCGGUUUGUCGCGUCUGCUGUGAAAAUCCGGGACUCAACCCCGGACCUGCAGUGGGUACGGGCAGACUAGAGUGUGGUAGGGGAGACUGGAAUUCCUGGUGUAGCGGUGAAAUGCGCAGAUAUCGGGAGGAACACCGGUGGCGAAGGCGGUUCUCUGGGCCUGUACUGACGCUGAGGAGCGAAAGCGUGGGGAGCAAACAGG